AGCCAGGCGUGGUGGCAGGCACCUGUAGUCCCAGCUACUCGGGAAGGUGAGGCAGGAGAAUGGCAUGAACCUGGGAGGUGGAGCUUGCAGUGAGCCAAGAUCACAGCACUGCACUCCAGCCUGGGUAACAGAGCAAGACUCUGUCUCAAAAAAAAAAAAAAGAAAUCCUGUAUGAUCCAGCACCACCAUUUCUGAGUAUAUACCCUAUAGGAAUUGAAAGUAGAAUCUUGAAUAGACACUUGUACACUCAUCUUCAUAGCAGCAUUAUUUCAAUAGGCAAAAGGUGGAAGUAGCCCAAGUAUCCACUAACAGAUGAAUGGAUAAAUAAAUGUGGCAUAUAAAUACCAGAGAAUAUUAUUUCACCUAAAAAGGAAGGAUAUUCUGACACAUUAUACAACAUGGGUGAACCGUGAAGACCUUAUCCUAAGUGAAGUAAGCCAGUCUCAAAAGAUAAAUACUGUAGAAUCCACUUAUAUGAGUAUAGAAAUAUAGUUGAGACAUUUCUGGGGAAGUAGGGAAGGGGAAUGAGUUGUUGUUAAUGGGUACAGCAUUUUACUUUUUGGUAAGAGGAAAAAUGUUCUGGAGAUUAGUUGCAUAAAAAUGUGGAAUUUAUAUAACAUUACUACCCAAUUACAAUAGUCAAUGGUAAACUUUCUCCAUUGUGAAAUCUCUGAUGUUUAAUGAGGUUGGAGUUUUAGCUAAAGAAUUCCCCACAUUCAUGGAGCACACAAGUCUCUCUUCCCUGUGGAUUUUCUGGUGAUGAACCAGGUGAGACUUUCUAAUAAAGGCCUUCUGGCAUUCGCUGCACUCAUAAGGUCUUUCUCCACUGUGGAUUUUCUGGUGCUCAACAAGUAUAUGCUUGUGGCUAAAGGCUUUCCCACACUCUCUGCACUCGUAAGGCCUUUCUCCAGUGUGAUUUCUCCAAUGUUUAAUGAGGUUGGAGUUGUAACGAAAGAAUUUCCCGCAUUCGCUGCACUCAUAAGGCCUUUCUCCUGUGUGGACUCUCUGGUGUCUAAUGAGCCUGCAGUGGUACCUAAAUGAUUUCCCACAUUCACUGCAUUUAUAAGGCCUUUCUCCAGUGUGAUUUCUCCAAUGUUUAACGAGGCUGGAGUUGUACCUAAACAAUUCCCCACAUACACUGCACUCAUAAGGCCUUUCUCCAGUGUGAAUUCUCUGAUGUCUAAUGAGUGUGGAGAUAUACCUAAAAAAUUUCCCACAAUCAUUGCACUUAUAAGGUCUUUCUCCGGUGUGAACUCUCUGAUGUUUAAUGAGUGUGGAGCUGUCCAUAAAGAAUUUCCCACAUUCCCUGCACUCAUAUGGCCUUUCUCCGGUGUGAACUCUCUGAUGUCUAACAAAUGUGGAGCUGUACCGAAAGAAUUUCCCACAUGUGUUGCACUCAUAAGGCCUUUCUCCAGUGUGAACUCGCUUAUGUCUCAUGAGUCGGUAGUUGUACAUAAAGGAUUUUCCACAUUCUCUGCAUUCAUAAGUCCUUUCACUAGUGUGAAC
rnacentral:lncRNA from 1 species